CAGUCCCAAUGUCCAGAGACCAGCCGCCAACGGCAGCCAAGUUUUGGAUUCACUUGCGCUGAAAAGUGCACACAAUAACGGACUAUAUAUAGAACAGAUUAGAACUCUCAUAUGAUGAAUUAUAUCAAUUGGCUUUGCACUGUGCAUGCAGCAUUUGCUCAAACACAUUCACUAGCCCGACUAUUCACGAGGAGGUGGCGGACAGACCCGGAGAUAAUGCCAGCAAUCAGAAACACGCUCCAAGCGCGCUUUGACCAAUGAGCCGCAACAGAAAGCGAGAGCCAGAGCAAACAUUAGGGGAAGUUGGUGAAUUGCAUUGGAAUACAGAUACCCUGCACUAAAUUUAAAGUUUUGAGAAACACUUAUGCUAACUGUUUAAAAGAACCCUUUAAAAUCACAUCAUUAAAACAAAAAAGCCAUUUUAAAGUAAAUAAAAAAUCUUAGAAAAAUAA